AGCAAAUCUGACAUCAUAUAAUUCAUCCACUAGCCGGAAAUCAUUAUCAUAUUCAGGAAUGGAGUCCAGUUCUAUAGCUUCUACACUUCCUGAAGCUCUUGGUAUUGGAAUAACUAUCGGCGCUGUUGCUGUGCUACUGAUUCUAAGUGUAUCAUAUGCAGUACUUGAGGCCCUAACAUCAACAGGAUAUAACAAGAACCAAGGCCAACAACUCUCCAAAA
rnacentral:sRNA from 1 species